CUCUCCUCCUUCCGCGUUACCUGUGUCAGGACACCAAUCCGGAGUCACUGGGAGCCUCGGUCCUCCUUAAACCCUUCAAGUCUGUCAGAUAGAAUACCCUGGAUUUCAAUAUAAUACUAAUAGUGAUCAUUCUAAAGUAAUUUCCAUUUACAGAGCACUUUCACUUAGGGCAGUAACUCCUGUACCAAAAGAACGUACACUCGGUAUUUGUUGCAUACGUGGAUAACUAUAGUUGAGCAGGUAAAUGUCCAUUUUACGUAAAGAUGAAAAAAACCGACCUAGGAGGAACUCAGUCUGUCCUAUUAAGAUCACAUUCUUACCAUCAUCCCCUCUCUAAGAUACAGUUCUCAAAAAUCGUCUUAAAUGUCCAGCCUCCCCCGUUUUGUCCAUUCUAGGCAGAAUCAAUUUAGUUAUUGAUUAUGUGUGUGUGGAUAAUUUACUGACCAAACUCCCUCAAAGAAGCAAUGUAGUCUUUUGUAGAAUUCGACCAUUAAAUAUUUACCUUGUGACAGAAACUGCGGUAGGCAAAAAAAGUCAAAUAAUUAUAGUACAAUUUAAGUGCUAUAAUAGAAAGGUUUAAAUGUGCUAUGGAAACACAAGGAACAGCAAUUCGUUCUUAGCGGUAAAAGAGAUUGAGUAAGUUACAGAGAAACUACAGGUGAAACUCCAGCUAAUCUUGAGACUAUAAAUAGUUCACUAGAGAGGUAAGAAUGGAGAUUCCAGCAAAGUCAUAGAGGCAUGAAGUUCAUCUUUCCUUCAAGGAUGAGCAAGUUCCAGUGCCAUGACACAGAAUGAAAGCCUGAAAUGUUUCUGAGACAAGUGCAAGAACUGAAGAACAACAACCAAGAAUACCUGGAUUUAAAACCUAUACUCCUGGCCAGGCACGGUGGCUCACGCCUGUAAUCCCAGCAUGUUGGGAGGCCGAGGCGGGUGGAUCACAAGGUCAGGAGUUCAAGACCAGCCUGAACAACAUGGUGAAACCCCGUCUCUACUAAAAAUACAAAAAUUAACCAGGCAUGGUGGCACGCACCUGUAAUCCCAGCUACUUAGGAGGCUGAGGCAGGAGAACUGCUAGAACCCGGGAGGCAGAGGUUGCAGUGAGCUGAAAUUAUGCCACUGCACUCCAGCCUGGGCGACAGAGUGAGACGCCAUCUCAAAAGAAAAAAAAAAAAAGGGAAUCUCAAAACUUCUUUUCCAAGACAGAAAAAAACCCCAAAGGGUGAGCAAAUCUGGAACUCAAGCCCUUUCCCCACCUUAGGAGUUCCCUCUGAGAGCAUCAAAGACAUGGCUAGAACACUGUGCCUCCCUUCCCUUAACCUUCAGACUUCAUAGUUUUGAGACCUCUUGGGCAAAACUCAACCAGGGCUAACAAAUAAGGCUGGAUUGAGAACCCCAGGAGGGAGGAUGGAGGGAUGGGGAUGGGCUUUGAGAAACACCAGGCAAAAAAGAAUGCAACUCUCAAUUGUUCAUGCGUGACAGUGAG
rnacentral:lncRNA from 10 species